GACGAACGCUGGCGGCGUGCUUAACACAUGCAAGUCGAACGGAAAGGCCCCGCUUUUGUGGGGUGCUCGAGUAGCGAACGGGUGAGUAACACGUGAGUAACCUGCCCUUGACUUUGGGAUAACUUCAGGAAACUGGGGCUAAUACCGGAUAGGAGCUCCUGCUGCAUGGUGGGGGUUGGAAAGUUUCGGCGGUUGGGGGUGGACUCGCGGCUUAUCAGCUUGUUGGUGGGGUAGUGGCUUACCAAGGCUUUGACGGGUAGCCGGCCUGAGAGGGUGACCGGCCACAUUGGGACUGAGAUACGGCCCAGACUCCUACGGGAGGCAGCAGUGGGGAAUAUUGCACAAUGGGCGGAAGCCUGAUGCAGCAACGCCGCGUGCGGGAUGACGGCCUUCGGGUUGUAAACCGCUUUCGCCUGUGACGAAGCGUGAGUGACGGUAAUGGGUAAAGAAGCACCGGCUAACUACGUG
rnacentral:rRNA from 1 species